rnacentral:rRNA from 1 species
GGUGAGUAACGCGUAUGCGACCUGCCCGUCACAGGGGGAUAAUCCGGAGAAAUCCGGUCUAAUACCGCAUAAUAUCGUGAAGCUGCAUGGUUUUGCGAUUAAAGGAGCGAUCCGGUGACGGAUGGGCAUGCGUGACAUUAGCUAGUCGGCGGGGUAACGGCCCACCGAGGCGACGAUGUCUAGGGGUUCUGAGAGGAAGGUCCCCCACACUGGUACUGAGACACGGACCAGACUCCUACGGGAGGCAGCAGUGAGGAAUAUUGGUCAAUGGGCGAGAGCCUGAACCAGCCAAGUCGCGUGAAGGAUGACGGCCCUACGGGUUGUAAACUUCUUUUGUCAGGGAGCAAUUGGGUCCACGCGUGGGCUUAGCGAGAGUACCUGAAGAAAAAGCAUCGGCUAACUCCGUGCCAGCAGCCGCGGUAAUACGGAGGAUGCGAGCGUUAUCCGGAUUUAUUGGGUUUAAAGGGUGCGUAGGCGGAAUAUCAAGUCAGCGGUAAAAAUUCGGGGCUCAACCCCGUCGUGCCGUUGAAACUGAUGUUCUUGAGUGGGCGAGAAGUAUGCGGAAUGCGUGGUGUAGCGGUGAAAUGCAUAGAUAUCACGCAGAACUCCGAUUGCGAAGGCAGCAUACCGGCGCCCAACUGACGCUGAAGCACGAAAGCGUGGGUAUCGAACAGGAUUAGAUACCCUGGUAGUCCACGCAGUAAACGAUG